rnacentral:rRNA from 1 species
GACGAGGGACCCUAGCGUUGUUCGGAAUCAUUGGGCGUAAAGCGGGUGUAGGUGGCUUUGUAAGUUCAGGUGUGAAAUCCCUGGGCUCAACCCAGGACGUGCAUUUUGAUACGCGAAGCUUGAGUGCCGGAGAGGUUACUGGAAUACCUGGUGUAGUGGUGAAAUACGUAGAUAUCAGGUGGAACACCGGAGGCGAAGGCGGGUAACUGGCCGGACACUGACACUCAGACCCUAAAGCGUGGGGAUCAAACAGGAUUAGAUACCCCGGAGUCC